UACAGAGGUCCCAAGCGUUGUUCGGAUUCACUGGGCGUAAAGGGUGCGUAGGUGGCGAGGUAAGUCGGAUGUGAAAGCUCGGAGCUCAACUCCGAAAUGGCAUUGGAAACUACCUUGCUCGAGGGUUGGAGGGGGGACUGGAAUUCCCAGUGUAGAGGUGAAAUUCGUAGAUAUUGGGAAGAACACCGGUGGCGAAGGCGGCUCACUGGCUCGUAACUGACGCUCAUGCACGACAGCGUGGGGAUCAAACAGG
rnacentral:rRNA from 1 species